GGGCGUAAGGGCUCGCAGGCGGUUUCUUAAGUCUGAUGUGAAAGCCCCCGGCUCAACCGGGGAGGGUCAUUGGAAACUGGGAAACUUGAGUGCAGAAGAGGAGAGUGGAAUUCCACGUGUAGCGGUGAAAUGCGUAGAGAUGUGGAGGAACACCAGUGGCGAAGGCGACUCUCUGGUCUGUAACUGACGCUGAGGAGCGAAAGCGUGGGGAGCGAACAGGAUUAGAUACCCUGGUAGUCCACGCCGUAAACGAUGAGUGCUAAGUGUUAGGGGGUUUCCGCCCCUUAGUGCUGCAGCUAACGCAUUAAGCACUCCGCCUGGGGAGUACGGUCGCAAGACUGAAACUCAAAGGAAUUGACGGGGGCCCGCACAAGCGGUGGAGCAUGUGGUUUAAUUCGAAGCAACGCGAAGAACCUUACCAGGUCUUGACAUCCUCUGACAACCCUAGAGAUAGGGCUUUCCCUUCGGGGACAGAGUGACAGGUGGUGCAUGGUUGUCGUCAGCUCGUGUCGUGAGAUGUUGGGUUAAGUCCCGCAACGAGCGCAACCCUUGAUCUUAGUUGCCAGCAUUCAGUUGGGCACUCUAAGGUGACUGCCGGUGACAAACCGGAGGAAGGUGGGGAUGACGUCAAAUCAUCAUGCCCCUUAUGACCUGGGCUACACACGUGC
rnacentral:rRNA from 1 species